UCAUUUUAAAAAUAAAAUUUUUUAAGCUGGCUUUUUAACAAAAUGUAAAACGAAAACAAAAUUUUUAAAUGUAACCAAAGGGAAUGCAAUGAAACCUGGUUUAUAUUUUUAGUUUUUGAAUAAAUUGAAAAAAAAAUUCACUUAAAUUUUUAUUUAUGAAAAUUAUUUAUAUUUCUUUAAUAACAAUAUUUGUUUUACAGCAAAGGCAGCCCUUCGAUUCAAUGAGAUAUAGACUUGAAAUUUGCACACACACACACACACAGAGCCCUGAAUCUCCUCUACGAUGCUAGCUUAAAUCAAAUCAAGUAAAAAUAUUAAAAGUAUUAUAAGAAUGGCGAGGUCUUUCGAGAAGCAACUUGUUGUGAAAUUUGAUUGCAAGGCAGUCACAGAAAACAAUAUAUAUAUAUAUAUAUAUAUGUAUAUAUAUGUCGAAAACACGUUUACUACGGAUCGAAAGAUGUAAUAUGGGCGUUUUUUUUUUUUGUUUAAUAGUCUCCUGCUCUAAUAGUUAUUGUUUCACGGUAUUAAUAAUUCUUGAGUUUACUUGUUCAUUUGCUUAACAAGCUUCCAUUUCACAUUUCCUAGUGCAGCUUUGCCUUUCAACCCAAGUUUAAACGGCAUUUAAUUACGAAAAGAAAGUUCAAAGUAAUGCAUUUCAAAUGCGUAGAGGAUUAUGGGGAGUGUUUGAUAAGACAUUUCAUCGUUCUUCGAACGCUGAUCCUUUUUUAUUACAUAAAGCAUAGAUUUUUAAAACAAUCCGACGUACUUGAUUAGCAAUAAGCUAAUAAUUCGUAGUAAUCGUAGUAAGCUUAAAAUUUUCGAAAAAAAAUAGUCCGAAGCGAACGCGUUUUUGGCAAAAGUUUUUAAAAAAAUCGCUAUACAUAAGACCUGUUUGCUCUAGUAAAGCAAUUUGUUUUAAAAAAUUUCGAAAAUUUUAACCUUUCUACGUAUUAAUAUAUAGUAGAGGAGAUUUUGCGAGACACGAGCGCGUACACGCGACAAUUUUUAGAUAUUCUUCUUCUAACUUUUGUCUUUCCUGAGAAACAGUUUGCAAAUAGUUUUGUUCCAGAGAUAACUCUGGUCUGAUUAAUCGAUAAAUCUAGAUAGUUGAAAUUUUCUCACACAAUUUCUAAUACAAUAUCUGUUCGUUCACAUUAUUUUGUUUUUUUCGAAAUAUCUUGAGUGAAAUGUUCUUUCCAUCUACAUUGAAUAGAAAAAAGUAAUAGUUUUCCCGUUAAACAAAUUUUGAGUGCAUAAAUGGGAUUGGAAUGAGGACCUGGCUAAGAGCUUUGCACAAUUGCGUUGCUCUUUUUCAACUAAUGAAGCUUAUCUGAUAUCAAUUUCGUUCUGCAACAAACUGCCAUUCAAUAUAAAGUAUUGAGCGUUAAUAGAUUAAAGGCCAAUAGAGCAGAUGCAAAACAUUCAUUCUCUUCGCGGCAUUCAAUCAUGUCUUAUACGUUUAGUGCUAAUUUUACUGAAUUCAACGAGAUAAUGCAAUCGUUAAUGCAAUCAAAUAUUAUUUUCAUUUUAUUAUGUAAGCAACUAUGUAUUUUCUAUUUAUAAAAUUUGCAUUUGCAUCCACACUAACAGGCCAAACUUGUACAAAAUGUUUGGAUCUCGCGAGAGCAUUACAUGUAGAAUCGGCAUUCUAUCUCAACUUUGCAAGUUAAUAUAAAAAUUCCGGUUUCGUAUUUACAUAUCGGGUAGAGCUUUCGUUUUCGUCUUAGACAACUCUUUUCCAAAAUGAAUCUAAUAAUUAAUUAAAUCGUUUUUUCGAUUCGCUCCUUAUACGAGAAGCAUAUAAAGCCGUGUGUACAUAUAUAGGGUGUCCCACAAAAAAAAAGUGCAUAGACAUUGCGUGACUAUAAAAGCACUAUUCAUUUAGAUGAAUUGCAGAUUAAGAGUGCAAAUUGAAGAAGACGGCGGCAGGAUUAGUUUAGUCAACGCAAAUGUUCAAAUUGAUGCCCCUUUUUGAUUCCCACAUUACUGAUAACACGAUGCAAACGCGGCGAAUUAUUUCAUGAAGAUUUUCCCUCAACUGAUCGUUUAUUGUCGGUUUUGUCAGAUACAUUUUAUCUUUAAUGCGUCCCUAGAAAACAAAAUGCAGCGACGUGAGGUUGCGGUAAGAGUACGAAUCGGGGCCAUUCGAUGGCCCCUCUUCGCUCAUCCAUCUGUUCGGAAGAUUUUCACUGAGAUAAGCUCUCACAUCCAUCUUACUCACGAAUAUUAGGCACAACGUUUUUCUACAGCAGUUUCUAAUUAGCGGCAUACAGUGACCCUCUUAUCAAAAAAGAAAGAAUGAGGUAUUAAAGUGUGUGUUAGGAUACUUUAUUUAUUCUAAUUCCCGGUAGAAAAUGCCGAUUUAAUUACAAGAAAAUAUAUUUAAGAAAACAUCAUCGGUUUAACAUCAUCGUCGCCUAAUCGAUGAUUUUGAUGAAAUUAAAUUUCUUGUUAGCUUAAUUUCUACUUAGAAAAGACUUUCCACAAUCACUUACUCUAUCAUUAACGCGUGCCGUUUCUAGUAGCAGACUUUUCUCUCUACUCUAUCGCCACUUUCCUUCGCCGAUUUCAAGAACCGAUUUUUCUCUCUAAUCUGUCAUCAUUUUUCUUCGCAUUCGUUGGACUUGUUAUUAUCAUCAGUAGUAUGCCAUUUCCAAGACUUUUUAUAUAUGUUAGUUAAUAUUAUGUUUACGAAUUUUGAUUUCGCCGAUUUGUUUUGUGCUUUCACGAGUUCUCUUCUAGAAAAAUAUUGAUGUCUUCAUUAAUUAAUUCAAUUUACGUUCAGAUAUUAAAGGAAAUGCUCGUAGAAAUUCUCUUCGGCGACGGCUUUAAAAAUACAUACAUAUUUUUAUUAUAGCGCUUUGUUACAGAGACUAGCCGAUAGAAAAGCUUUAAGCAUGUUAGUUGAAAGGAUACAUUGGUCGGUCCAAAUCUAUUCCCUGCCGCAGUUUGUCGAAAAUAGUUGCAAGAAACCUGUUGCCUUUGCUGUGGACAAGGAUAUUGUUAAUAUAAAUAAAAUAAAUUUUCCCGAAAGGUUAUUUAGAAACUAACUCCUACAUGCACACACGAGUAAAAACUUGACGUGUUGUUUGCACAUUUCUAAAAAAAUGUCUUUUUGUGACAUUAAAGCUUUAAGAAAGAUUUAAAGUAAUAUCGGAUGCUAUAACAUUUUUGAUCCUCUCGUAUACUGCUUUUGGAAAGGAAAUCGAUCAAAAUAAAAAGAAAAAAAAUAUUAAAAAUACACAAAAAAUUAAAAAAAAAAAGGAAAAAGAAAAAAAUUAAAAAAAAAAAAAUUAGAAAACUCUCUAAAUGUAAUCCAAAAGAAAUUGAAUAAUAUAUUGAAAAGUGAAGUGAAUGAAGAUUUACGAAAGCAUAACAAUGUACAAUAAGCACAAAGUAAAUUAAAAAUGUUUCUCUCUGCUAUUGAUUAAAUACAAUUUCAAAAAUGAUUAAAGGCGAAUUUUUAUACCAACCAGAUCCGGACACUCCAGAAAGCACAUGUGCACAUAAGGACAGUGUAACGAGAAUUUUGCUCUGUCCGCAUGAUCUGUAUAAAUCGAAGAGUGACAAAAAUUGAAAUAAAGCGCGGCUUAAUUUUCUACAGCAAGAAGUGACAAUUUCAUUCAUUUGAAAUACUACUGAAAAAGGUUACGAUGAAAAUAUGCACGAUCGGUCCGUGUGGGUGUUCAUUGCUACCCAAAGGCGAUGAAUGGGUAUCUAGGGUUAAAGUGAAUACAUUUUUUUUUUUUUUUUUUUUUGAUAACUUUAAUGUAAAUUUUGUUUUUAAAGCUAUAAUAAAAUCUCUUCCUGUACGUUUUUAACUAAAGUUGUAAAUUUUGCAAUCAAAAGUAUAAAUAAAUAAAUAAAUAAAAUUCGGAUAUCUAUAUGAACACGUAUUAGAACAAUUUUAAAAAGCAAGAUAAAAAUACAAAAAAUUAAAAUAUUUUAAAUGAAAAAGAAAAAUCGAAUAACUGAUUUAUAUAAAAGUUUUAUUAAAAAAAAAUGAAAAAAUACAAGACAUUUCGGUGAGAAUGGACCGAAGUUUUCAAUACUCGAAUUGUACAGAUUAUAGAUAAUAUCGAGAUAAGAUCGCGGAACGACAAAAAAAUCCACUCGAUCGAUUAAUUAAAUAACAAAAUUUUCUUGCUAAUUCUUUUGUAACUAUUUAGAUUGAUUUUCUUCCAUUUUUUUUAUUUAAAAAAAAAAAAUGUUGAAAUUUUUGUGAUAUUAAUGGUAAUAUUGUUCAUUUUUCCUUAAAAAAAAAAAUGCAUUAUUAAAUUAUUAUAAAAAAAAGAAAAAAAUUGCAUUCGCUCUGUGGCCAAUUUUUGAUAUCCACGACCUUGGUUUUUGCAAUAUAAAGAAAAAUAGAUGAGACGGAAAAUGUAGGUGUAACCGAUCGAGAAAUAAUUUUACCAAGCUUUACAUCAAUAAGCGAGUUAGCUGUUUUACAAUCGCGGCCGGUCAAUAAAAUUUAAUCUUCAUAAGCUGCAGUGUAAAGAAUUCAUAUUACAACGUGCAGCGUUUUAGUCCUAUUUUUGCGGUCAGGAAAAUUUCAACAGUAGAAACGGACAAAUAGACGAACAGAAACAUGAAUAUAUAUAUAUUAUAAAGUCCUCGACUUGUAUUUCUGGAAUGGUGCAAAUGCUAG